rnacentral:rRNA from 1 species
CCUACGGGUGGCUGCAGUCGAGAAUCUUCGGCAAUGGGCGCAAGCCUGACCGAGCGACGCCGCGUGGAGGAUGAAGGCCUUCGGGUUGUAAACUCCUGUCGAGGGGAGGGCUGAUCCCUGGAGGAAGCACGGGCUAAGUUCGUGCCAGCAGCCGCGGUAAGACGAACCGUGCGAACGUUAUUCGGAAUCACUGGGCUUAAAGCGCGUGUAGGCGGGACGGCACGUCUUCGCUGAAAUCCCCCGGCUUAACCGGGGAACUGGCGUAGAUACGACCGUCCUUGAGGGGCGUAGGGGGAUCUGGAACUUCCGGUGGAGCGGUGAAAUGCGUUGAGAUCGGAAGGAACGCCCGUGGCGAAAGCGAGGUCCUGGACGCUCUGACGCUGAGACGCGAAAGCCAGGGGAGCGAACGGGAUUAGAUACCCUUGUAGUC